AAACUUAGGAUAAACACCCCCGCAAAACCGAAG
rnacentral:tRNA from 1 species